AGUUUGAGUUGGAGACUGAAACCAGUGGCCUAGGGUGGACGCUCAAGAAGCCAUGGAAGUAUGACAGUGGUGUGUCACACUUGGAAUAAGUCACCAACUACGCAGAGAAGGAGAUCCAGAGUUCCAGUGAACCUUCAAUAGCAGGCCGCAGGAUCAGAAACCAAACAGGAGUGGGAGAAAGAACUUGAAAAAGUCACUGAAAAAAAGAGGAAGAUCCUGAGCUGAUAAUGACAGAGGUGGAACUCUCUCAAGCAGUAGCAAAAGUAGCAAAAUGCAGCUUGCGGGUACAUAUGGGCAACAUGGCAGAAGUUCCU
rnacentral:lncRNA from 10 species